rnacentral:rRNA from 1 species
ACGGAGGGUGCAAGCGUUGUUCGGAAUUAUUGGGCGUAAAGGGCGCGUAGGCGGUAAUGUAAGUCCGAUGUGAAAUCUUUCGGCUCAACAACAACACUGCAUCUGAAACUGCAUAACUAGAGUACAGAAGAGGGAAACGGAAUUCCCGGUGUAGAGGUGAAAUUCGUAGAGAUCGGGAGGAACACCAGUGGCGAAGGCGGCUACCUGGACUGAUACUGACGCUGAGGCGCGAAAGCGUGGGGAGCAAACAG